rnacentral:rRNA from 1 species
GACGAAGGAUGCAAGCGUUAUCCGGAUUCAUUGGGUUUAAAGGGAGCGUAGGCGGCCUUAUAAGUCAGUGGUGAAAUCUUUGGGCUUAACCCAAAAAUUGCCAUUGAUACUGUAGGGCUUGAGUACAGUUGCUGUGGGCGGAAUAUGACAUGUAGUGGUGAAAUACAUAGAGAUGUCAUAGAACACCGAUUGCGAAGGCAGCUCACAAAACUGUAACUGACGCUGAGGCUCGAAAGUGCGGGGAUCAGACAGG